UGCCCUUUGUAAAGAGCCCAGACUGUCCUCAGAUGUCCUCUGGAAUUUGGAGAUGAAACCCACUUCAGACAAAUCACUUAGCCUCUGAGGGCCUCCUCGGUCUUCUCACUUGUGAAAUGGGCCGGUUACAGAAACUGUUAGGUGGGGGCAAGGUGAGUGGCUGCAGAGGGCUUGCACGGGAACCGUCAACAGGUCAGUGGGGAGCAUUGCUGGCGCUCUAGCUCAGUCGGCCGCGUCUCUGGUCCUCAGCGGCUUGUUGCCCCAGCGUGCUGGCUCCCUUUACUGUUUUUUUUUUUUUUUCCUCCCCUAAUAUUUAUUUAUUUGACUGUGCUGGGUCUUAGCUGUAGCAUGUGGAAUCUAGUUCUCUGACCAGGGAUCGAACCUGGGCCCUCUGCAUUGGGAGAGGGGAAGAGCGGAGUCUUAGCCACUGAACCACCAGGGAAGUCCACCCUUUACUGUCUGUUGGCAGGCUGCGAGCUUCUGUGGGGCAGGGGAUGGAUGAGGAGUGCUGGGGGCUGAAGCCUGCUGGGGACCAGGUGGCCUGGAGAAGUCUACUCAGCAGCCCCUGCCUGUGGGGCUCUGUGCCAACGUCCCGAGUCGCAGCUGCCUGGAGUCUGGGAGAGCUGAGCUGGCCUGAGACAGAGGGGCUGGAGAAGGCCCUGGGCACAGUCCCCCAUGACCCCCGUUUUCUCUGCGGCUUUCUCCUGCAGGAGGCGGCAGGGGGCUGGGCUGGAGGCUCACCGUGGGAGUGAGGAAGCUGGUCGCUGGGUUUCUGCACCUGCUCAGGCCUCUCCCAGAGGGUGCCUCACUGCCCCCACCUCUACCUCCAGCGGCAGCACAGGGUGACGGAGGCUCGGCGAGCAGACAUCCACGGCCUGCCUCAGCUCCCCGUCUUCAGGGCCCUGGUGGGUCCCCUUCUCCCACUCCUGGCUUCCCCCAGACAGGAUGUUGUCCUGUUGUCUUGCUCACUGCAGACUCCUGCCUCCCGCCCUGAGUGAGGGCUCCUCCCAGGUGGCCCGCUGCGUCCCCCCUCAGCCCGGCUCAGCCACAGGGGACGGGCCACUUGUCAAACGCUCUUGUUUAAUUUUCCUCGCUCACAGUCUGCUUGUUCCAACACCCUGCAAUGACACGGGUGUUAACCGAGCACCGGGGACUAUAAUUAUCGGGGCUGAGAGACGAGAAGCUCCUGGUGGUGCAGCAGCUGCAGACAGGAGCGCCGCCCAAUCUGUCCCCGGAGAGGAGCCGCUCGGCCGACUCGUGUCUGAAGAGCCGCCGGUUUUGAGCAAACUCUGCUGGGCCUCCUGUCCCUGGAUUUUUGGAGUUGAAUCCAAGAAUGAUGAAGAGUCUGAAAAGCUCCAUCUCCACCUGCUUUGCUGAGGGAACAAGAGGCUGACACUGUCAUCGGAGUGCAAAUGGGGCUCGCCUGUUGUUUGUCACUCUGUAAGUCAAGGCAUGGGAUCACACAGCCAAAAAUCAUAGCCCUGGAUCCAGGCUGUGCAGAGUGUGUGCCCUCACACCCUUCUUGUCCCAUGGGACUUGUGCUGUGAGGCUGCGAAUUGGUACGUGUGUGUUUUCUUUUUUUAAGUUGACUUCUAGAGAAGAAUUUCUGUUUGAGAGUAAAUGACUUGGGAUUGACCGGGGCAGACUAGGUCUCCUGUGGGUGUGGUUGACCCUAGGUGUGGACAUGGAGUCUCUGAGAGGCUUGGAGCCAAGCUCCCCAGAAGCUGGUUGGGAGCUGCUGACCCUGGGUUCCUAGGGUCUCAGUGCCCCAUGUACCCAUGGAGCAGAGUUAAGGUUCCCAGCCUUCUUCCACAUUGAGGUUCUUGCUCUAGAUUGGCAAGGGUGCUUCUUGCAAGGCUACCUCCAGACGCUCAGCUUUCUUCUCUCCGGGGCGCACAAGCUGGCAGAGCAGUGGUUUCUAACCCCCUAGGCUCUGGUUGGGCCAAUUGGUCAGAGUGAACAGCCAACACAUCCUGUCAGUCAGGGGGGCCCCUUUCCUCUCCCCCUGAGUGCUGAGGGUUUCAUCAGCCUUAAUACGGCUAUUGUGGGCCUGAUAGAUGGGAAAGAGGCACCAGCAGGCUGAAAGGGCUGGUGGUGACAGAUUCUGCUGGCAGGAUGCGCAGCUUGGGUGGGGUGUACACAGAGUGGGGUUCGGGCCCAGGUGAAUCAGCACCGGCCCGGGAAGCACAGCGGCGCUGAUGGAUGGCCAGGGUGCUCAGAUGCACCCCUGACACUAUUUGUACAAACAAACAGGGAACUCAAAUGAAUGGGGUUUCACGAGCUUAUAUAAGUCAGUUGGCAACGCAUAGCGCCCCAGCUGU
rnacentral:lncRNA from 1 species